rnacentral:rRNA from 1 species
CCGCCCGUCACACCAUGGAAGUGUAUUGCACCAGAAGCAGGUAGCCUGACCGCAAGGAGGGCGCCUACCACGGUAUGGUCCAUGACUGGGGUG